CAGAGUUGCAAGACUCCCUAAACCAUUGUGAACCUACCUUCUACCGUUGCUUCGGCGGGCGGGCCCAGCGCCCCCCCCGGCCCCCCGCGGGCGCCCGCCGGAGGAUACCCAAACUCUUGACAUUAGUGGCCUCUCUGAGUAUUCUUUACUGAAUAAAUCA
rnacentral:misc_RNA from 1 species